AUGUAAUUUUUGGAACCUUAAUCCUAACUUCUCAGAAAAGAGUAGGUGGUGGAUAGCGGUAGGACUUGGAACUAAUAGCCAACAGGUAAAACAGGCAGAGAUGUAGAGGUUUUAAUGUAAAGAAACAGGGUGAAAAGGAGGUAUUUCCCAUUUCCUGAAGGCCCUGAGCAUCGGUAAAGAGUCUGGAAUGGAAAAGGACAGUUUGGUCAAUAAUGGUGAUUCCCUGAUGUAGGUCAGAAAUGGGUCUAGGUGAUAGAAAUGUUAACGUGAACAAAAUAUACAAUAGCUGUUUGUAGACUAUUUAAUUUAACCUUAGCAUCAAGCAUGUAAUAUAGAAAGAAGUAGAAAAUAAGUCUAAAAAGGGAGGACAGGAGCCUAGAACUGCAUUCUGGAUAACUUGUGGCAUCCAUAUGGGAGAAGGACAUAUAACUCAAUAAAUCAUGUUUAAUAUAGUGAAGAUGGGGUUUCUCCAUGUUGGCCAGACUGCUCUUUAACUCCUGACCUCAGGUGAUCCACCGGCCUCUGGCUCCCAAAGUGCUGGGAUUAUGAAAUAAGUAGAAGUAAGUACAUCAGAGGCUAGAGACAGAACACUUGAAUCAAGAGUCCAAGAUGAUUUGGAGGUUUUGAGAUAGGAAAGUUUGGGGCAAAUCACUUUGAUUUUGAAUUGAGUUCGAUAGUUCCUACAUUAGGGAGCCUUGCAAAGGAAAUAGUAUCUAUUUCUGAAAGGGUUAGGUGAAACAUCAUUAUAUUUCCAUAAAAACAAACAAGCAGGAGGUCUGUUAUUUUCAAGGGAAUUGACAACUUGAGAAAUUCACAGUUCUACAUUUAAAAACAAUAAUGAUACUGUUUAAGGAUAAUGCAUAUGUGUGACACUAUACUAAGCACUCACUCACACUGUGUGAUUUAAUUUUCUCAGCAAUUAAUUAAGAACCAGCAAUGAGUUAAGAACUCCAUUACAUAAAUGUUGGGACAAAAAAGGCAAAAUAAAAACUUGACCUAUUCUAGUAUCAUCCUGUAGUUUUCAUUUAUAGCACAUUUCCAAUUGUUAAUUAUACACUUAAUUAUAUAUUUAUUUAAGUGUGCAUUCAUUUUUAAAUUAUAUGUUCUAUAAGAAGAGGGAUCGUAAAUUUAAUUUAUCUCUACAUAUCCAGAGUCUGGCUCAUUGUAGGUGCUCAGAAUAUAUGUGUUGAAUAAACUUAUGAAUAAAAGAGAUGAUGUCAGAGUUCCAGCAUCUAAAUGCAAAGACAUUCCAUACACUUGCCUCCCCCAGUGUCUCCCUUUGGGUGUUCUCGCUAGCCAGGAGUGAAAUGGUGUUCACUUAUCAACAAAACUAUCUUUGUUCUCAAGAAGGUUGAAGUUAUUACCCACCAAGGACUGCUUUGCAUCUACUUUGAGGAAUUAAGACAUCUACACCAACUAGAGAUGGCACACCAUUGUUGUUUGUGUAUAUGCUAUGUAGAUGGUUAGAUUUUAGAUCAAGCCCUGGAUUUAUUAUCUAAGGGCAGAUGUGCUUAAACACCACAUAAACCAUAAAGUGCACUUUUCAUUUUAACAUAACCCAUCACUCUUUCUUCACAUCACUCCAUUUAAUUUCUGCAAAUGUGCUCUUCCCUGCAAACAACAACAACAACGACAACAACAAAAACCACAACAGUAAUAAUGGCUAACAUGU
rnacentral:lncRNA from 1 species